rnacentral:rRNA from 1 species
UACGUAGGGUGCGAGCGUUGUCCGGAAUUAUUGGGCGUAAAGAGCUUGUAGGCGGUUUGUCGCGUCUGCUGUGAAAAUCCGGGGCUCAACCCCUGGACUUGCAGUGGGUACGGGCAGGACUAGAGUGUGGUAGGGGAGACUGGAAUUCCUGGUGUAGCGGUGAAAUGCGCAGAUAUCAGGAGGAACACCGGUGGCGAAGGCGGAUCUCUGGGCCAUUACUGACGCUGAGGAGCGAAAGCGUGGGGAGCGAACAGG